GAUGAAGAACGCAGCGAAAUGCGAUAAGUAAUGUGAAUUGCAGAAUUCAGUGAAUCAUCGAAUCUUUGAACGCACCUUGCACCCUUUGGCAUUCCGAAGGGUAUGCUCGUUUGAGUGUCAUUGUACUCUCACACUUCCAAUUCUUUGGAUUGGGAGCGGUGGACUUGGGUGCUGCUGCUUACCGUGGCUCACCUCAAAUGUGUUAGUGCAACCGUUGGUUAGACAUAGUACAGCGUGAUAAGUAUCUUCGCUGGCGCCUCACCAGAGGGUGGCUGAUCAGGGCACUGUGCUUCCAAUCGUCUUCGGACAACCGCUGAAAACUUGACCUCAAAUCGAGUAGGACUACCCGCUGAACUUAAGCAUAUCAAUAAGCGGAGGA
rnacentral:misc_RNA from 1 species